rnacentral:rRNA from 1 species
UACAGAGGUCUCAAGCGUUGUUCGGAUUCAUUGGGCGUAAAGGGUGCGUAGGUGGCGGGGUAAGUCAGGUGUGAAAUCUCGGAGCUCAACUCCGAAACUGCACUUGAUACUGCCUUGCUCGAGUACUGGAGAGGAGAUUGGAAUUUAUGGUGUAGCAGUGAAAUGCGUAGAUAUCGUAAGGAACACCUGUGGCGAAAGCGGCUCACUGGACCGCAACUGACGCUGAUGCGCGAAAGCUAGGGGAGCAAACAGG